UGAUGACGAGACCAUCUAAGAACGAAAUGAUUUAUUCAACGCGAUGUCGCGUCGAGCGGUGAAGCUCCGUGUGUUUUUUUUUUUUUUUGCGAGAUCAUAGUGGAAGGAUUGCGUGAGUCUGUCGACUACAAGCCACGACCUUGACGUCAUACCGCGCUGCGUUGUUUCGAGUUCUGUGACUCAUUAGACCGUACCGUGCGCAGUAACUCAUCAUGCGAAUAGGUACGUUUUUAAAAGAGAACUCUGAGGCUCAUUCCAUUUGAACCAUCUGGCUUUUAAUAAUCAUAAAAAAAACCUCUCAGACAGAAACUUUUAGCAAGUUUCUGACAACCACAUUUCAACUGACGACUCUUCCAAUACAGUGUAAGGUUGACAAGCGUAGCGAUAACGAUCUUUCGUCGGUCCCAACUUAUAUUCUAUAAUAUUUUAAGUAUUAUUUUCAUAGAUUUAAAAUUCUUUAAAACAACCAGACUGUCAACAAACACAAAAGUAUAUUAUCAAAAUAUUAGGUAGAAACGUCAAACUCGCUAGUCAGAAGAGGAGAAAACUCAGAUUAUUCAUUUCCGACGCGUUUCCAUUUACACUGCACAUCACCCGGAAUGCGACUUAUUAUUAUUUUAUCCUUGUUAAUAGUUACUAAGAUUUACGCCACUUAAAUUUUGAGAGCUAUGCUUACUCCGAAAGUUGCGUACUACCCUCAAUCGCAAGGUAGGUACUCGACCUCGAAUCGGAGAUGAAAGGUGGUAUUGGAUGAAGCCUGACUAAGGAAGUGCGAGCAUAACUCAUCGUUCCAGCAGGAUUCCGAAUUAGAGCAGACCUCCAUGCAAAAAAUACAAGUAUCCGGACAGUCAGCGUUUUCGCCAACACGAGAAAAUGGUCAUAUGGCAUGGGCUUGCAUGAGCUGGCAUGGGCUGGCAAGGUCUGGCAAGGGCCGGCCGGCAAGGUCUGGCAUGGGCUCGCAUGGACUUGCAAGGACUGGCAAGGUCUCGCAUGGGCUGAUAUGAGCUGGCAUAUACGCUUUCAAGGGCUGGCAAGGUCUGGUGAAGUGUGGUAUGGCUGGCAAAGUGUGGCAUGGGCCGGCAAGGUCUGGCAUGGGCUCGCAUGGACUUGCAAGGACUGGCAAGGGCUGGCAAGGACUGGCAAACGGUUGACAAGGUCUGGCAUGGGCUCGCAUAUGCUGUCAUGGGCUGGCAACGUCUAUCAUCGGCUGGCAUGCGCUGGCAAGGGAUGGCUAAGACUGGCAAGGGCUCCCAUGGGCCGGCAAGGGCUGGCAGGGUCUGGCAAAGUGUGGCAUGGGCUGGCAUAGGCCGUCAAGGGUUGGUAAGGGGGCCGGCUAGAGCUGGCAAGGUCUGACAAAGUGUGGCAUGGGGUGGCAAGGUCUGGCAAAGUGUAGCAUGGGCUGGCAAGUCCUGGUGAGGUCUGGCAUGGUCUGGUUAGGUCUUGCUAGUCUGGGAAGGGCUGGUAAGCGCUGACAAAGGCGAGCAAUAAGAACUGGCAAGGUCUGCCAAAGUAUGGCGUGGGAUGGCAAGGGUUGGCAAAUGGCGGCGUGGGCUGGCAUCGGCUGGCAUGGGCAUCCAUGAGCUGGCAUGGCGGGCAAGGGCUUGCAAGGACCGGUAGGUUCUGGCAUGGGCCGGCAAGGUCUGGCAUGGGCUUGAGUGGGCCGGCAUUGGCUGGCAUGGGCUGGCAUGUGCUGGCAAGGGAUGGC
rnacentral:lncRNA from 1 species